rnacentral:rRNA from 1 species
GACGAACGCUGGCGGCGUGCCUAAUACAUGCAAGUAGAACGCUGAAGGAGGAGCUUGCUUCUCCGGAUGAGUUGCGAACGGGUGAGUAACGCGUAGGUAACCUGCCUGGUAGCGGGGGAUAACUAUUGGAAACGAUAGCUAAUACCGCAUAAGAGUAGAUGUCGCAUGACAUUUGCUUAAAAGGUUCAACUGCACCACUACCAGAUGGACCUGCGUUGUAUUAGCUAGUUGGUGAGGUAACGGCUCACCAAGGCAACGAUACAUAGCCGACCUGAGAGGGGGAUCGGCCACACUGGGACUGAGACACGGCCCAGACUCCUACGGGAGGCAGCAGUAGGGAAUCUUCGGCAAUGGACGGAAGUCUGACCGAGCAACGCCGCGUGAGUGAAGAAGGUUUUCGGAUCGUAAAGCUCUGUUGUAAGAGAAGAACGAGUGUGAGAGUGGAAAGUUCACACUGUGACGGUAUCUUACCAGAAAGGGACGGCUAACUACGUG